UGUGGCUUUGGACACAGACACUGUCAUUGACAAAGUGGCAGAGAAGAGUGAGCUAAUGAGGAAACUGCUGUUGUACUAAGUUCCCCACCUCUCUAAGAAUGCCCUGUAUGGUUCAUUGUCCAUUGUUGAUGAGAGUAUAUGCAGAGGGCCUUGCAGCCUUUUCCACUAAGAGACGGCAUUAUUGUUAGUUUGUUGAAGUGACUGUUUUCCAGAUAUGCUGCUAUCUCUUG